rnacentral:rRNA from 1 species
UAGGGAAUCUUCCGCAAUGGACGCAAGUCUGACGGAGCAACGCCGCGUGAGUGAAGAAGGAUUUCGGUUCGUAAAACUCUGUUGUUAGAGAAGAACAGCGCAUAGAGUAACUGUUAUGCGUGUGACGGUAUCUAACCAGAAAGCCACGGCUAACUACGUGCCAGCAGCCGCGGUAAUACGUAGGUGGCAAGCGUUGUCCGGAUUUAUUGGGCGUAAAGCGAGCGCAGGCGGUCAAUUAAGUCUGAUGUGAAAGCCCCCGGCUCAACCGGGGAGGGUCAUUGGAAACUGGUUGACUUGAGUGCAGAAGAGGAGAGUGGAAUUACAUGUGUAGCGGUGAAAUGCGUAGAUAUAUGGAGGAACACCAGUGGUGAAGUCGACUCUCUGGUCUGUAACUGACGCUGAGGCUCGAAAGCGUGGGUAGCAAACAGG